CCUACGGGGGACAGCAGUGGGGAAUAUUGCACAAUGGGGGAAACCCUGAUGCAGCGACGCCGCGUGAGUGAAGACGUAUUUCGGUAUGUAAAGCUCUAUUAGCAGGGAAGAAAAUGACGGUACCUGAUUAAGAAGCCCCGGCUAACUACGUGCCAGCAGCCGCGGUAAUACGUAGGGGGCAAGCGUUAUCCGGAUUUACUGGGUGUAAAGGGAGCGUAGACGGCAGCACAAGUCUGGAGUGAAAUGCCGGGGCUUAACCCCGGAACUGCUUUGGAAACUGUGCAGCUAGAGUGCAGGAGAGGUAUGUGGAAUUCGUGGUGUAGCGGUGAAAUGCGUAGAUAUUAGGAAGAACACCAGUGGCGAAGGCAGCUUACUGGACUGUAACUGACGUUGAGGCUCGAAAGCGUGGGGAGCGAACAGGAUUAGAUACCCGAGUAGUC
rnacentral:rRNA from 1 species